rnacentral:tRNA from 1 species
AGUCCAGUAGCUCAGAGGAUAGAGCGCCUAUACUUUUCGCUAUUUGGCAACAAAAGUUCCUCUAUUCGAUUCAUAAUCGGGAGGUCGCGGGUUCGAAUCCCGCCUGGACUA